rnacentral:rRNA from 1 species
CCGGAGCUUGCUCCACCGAAAGAAAAGGAGUGGCGAACGGGUGAGUAACACGUGGGUAACCUGCCCAUCAGAAGGGGAUAACACUUGGAAACAGGUGCUAAUACCGUAUAACAAUCGAAACCGCAUGGUUUUGAUUUGAAAGGCGCUUUCGGGUGUCNCUGAUGGAUGGACCCGCGGUGCAUUAGCUAGUUGGUGAGGUAACGGCUCACCAAGGCCACGAUGCAUAGCCGACCUGAGAGGGUGAUCGGCCACAUUGGGACUGAGACACGGCCCAAACUCCUACGGGAGGCAGCAGUAGGGAAUCUUCGGCAAUGGACGAAAGUCUGACCGAGCAACGCCGCGUGAGUGAAGAAGGUUUUCGGAUCGUAAAACUCUGUUGUUAGAGAAGAACAAGGAUGAGAGUAACUGUUCAUCCCUUGACGGUAUCUAACCAGAAAGCCACGGCUAACUACGUGCCAGCGAGCCGCGGUAAUACGUAGGUGGCAAGCGUUGUCCGGAUUUAUUGGGCGUAAAGCGAGCGCA